rnacentral:rRNA from 1 species
AUUGAACGCUGGCGGCAGGCCUAACACAUGCAAGUCGAGCGCGCGGCGGACGGGUGAGUAAUGUAUGGGGACUGCCCGAUAGAGGGGGAUAACUACUCGAUACGGUAUCUCAUACAGCAUACUAUCGGAUACCCCCUAUGGGAUUAGCUAGUAGGUGAGGUAAGGGCUCACCUAGGCGACGAUCCCUAGCUGGUCUGAGAGGAUGAUCAGCCACACUGGGACUGAGACACGGCCCAGACUCCUACGGAGGCAGCAGUGGGGAAUAUUGCACAAUGGGCGCAAGCCUGAUGCAGCCAUGCCGCGUGUAUGAAGAAGGCCCUAGGGUUGUAAAGUACUUUCAGCCGGGAGGCGUUACCGACAGAAGAAGCACCGGCUAACUCCGUGCCAGCAGCCGCGGUAAUUC